CGUGUCAAGGGAUGGGAAUCGAACCCACGACCUUCCGCUUACCGGGCAGAUGCCAUGACCACUAGGCCACAUGACC